UUGUUGUCGUUGUCAUCGUUAUUGUCGUUGUCAUUGUUGUUGUGUUGUUCUUGUUUUUGUUGUUGUUGUUGUUGUUGUUGUUGUUGUUGUUGUUGUUGUUGUUGUUGCUAUUGUUGUCGUUGUUCUUGUUCUUGUUGUCGACGUCAUCAUCGUCGUCGUCAUCGUGGUCGUUGUUGUUCUUGCUGUUGUAGUUUUUGUUUUUGUUAUUGUUGUUGUUGUUUUUGUUGUUAUUCUUGUUGUUGUUGUUGUCGUCGUCGUCGUCUUCAUUGUUGUUGUUGUUGUUGUUGUUGUUGUUGUUGUUGUUGUUG
rnacentral:lncRNA from 1 species